rnacentral:rRNA from 1 species
CGGGGGCCCGCACAAGCGGUGGAGCAUGUGGUAUAAUUAGAAGCAACGCGCAGAACCUUCCCAUCCCUUGACAUCCUGUGUUACCUCUAGAGAUAGGGGGUCCAUUUCGGUGGCGCAGAGACAGGUGCUGCAUGGCUGUCGUCAGCUCGUGUCGUGAGAUGUUGGGUUAAGUCCCGCAACGAGCGCAACCCUCGCCCUUAGUUGCCAGCAUUUGGUUGGGCACUUUAAGGGGACUGCCGGUGAUAAGCCGAGAGGAGUAGGGGGAUGACCUCAAGUCCUCAUUGCCCUUGCCCGCCGGGAUCCACACGUUCCACAAGGAGGUGAUCCAGCCGCAGGAAGGAAUAACAGCC